GUUGCGAAGUCCAGCCUUAACGCGCUCGAUUCGAAAUCGAGUUAGGUGUCAAAGCCUACGUGGGUUCGAAUCCCACC
rnacentral:tRNA from 1 species